rnacentral:rRNA from 1 species
AGCGAACGCUGGCGGCAGGCUUAACACAUGCAAGUCGAACGGGCAUCUUCGGAUUUCGGUGGCAGACGGGUGGGUAACCCGUGGGAACGUACCCUUCGAUUCGGACUAACUCAGGGAAACUUGAGCUAAUACCGGAUACGCCCAUUUGGGGGAAGGUUUACUGCCGUGGUCUCGGCCCGCGUCUGAUUGGUGUGUUGGUUGGGUUACGGCCUACCAAGGCGACGAUCAGUAGCUGGUCUGAGAGGAGGAUCAGCCACGCCUGGGCUGGGGCACGGCCCAGAAUCGUACGGGAGGGAGCAGAGGGGAAUAUUGUACGAUGGGCGCAAGCCUGACCCCGCCAUGCCGCGUGAGUGAUGCAGGCCUUAGUGUUGUACAGUUGCUUGUUACGGGACGAUAAUGACGGUACCGGAAGAAGAAGCCCCGGCUAACUUCGUG